rnacentral:rRNA from 1 species
AACGAACGCUGGCGGCAGGCCUAACACAUGCAAGUCGAGCGCACCCUUCGGGGUGAGCGGCGGACGGGUGAGUAACGCGUGGGAACGUGCCCUUCUCUGCGGAAUAGCCUCGGGAAACGGAGAGUAAUACCGCAUACGCCCUUUGGGGGAAAGAUUUAUCGGAGAAGGAUCGGCCCGCGUUGGAUUAGGUAGUUGGUGGGGUAAUGGCCCACCAAGCCGACGAUCCAUAGCUGGUUUGAGAGGAUGAUCAGCCACACUGGGACUGAGACACGGCCCAGACUCCUACGGGAGGCAGCAGUGGGGAAUCUUAGACAGUGGGGGCAACCCUGAUCUAGCCAUGCCGCGUGAGUGAUGAAGGCCUUAGGGUUGUAAAGCUCUUUCAGCUGGGAAGAUAAUGACGGUACCAGCAGAAGAAGCCCCGGCUAACUCCGUG